rnacentral:rRNA from 1 species
AUGGCAUUGUAUCUGAAAACUUUCAACUUGGAGCAGUUGUACAAUAAGAAGAAGCCAAAGAAGUUUGCAUUCUCAGUGUUUAUGGGGAGUCAAUUGGCUAUGGAUCCCGACUUGUUUGAUCACAAGAAUUGUGAAAGAGAGUUCAGAAGGGCAUGUGAAAACAACCAUAUUUCAAAAAGUGAUCUACUCUUCAUUUCUGUCGUUCAGAAUAAGCAUUGGGCGGUGGUUGUCGUGAACUUGUUGGACAAGCAAUUCAAUGUUUUCGACUCCAUCAAGAACGACAUGAAUGUUACUUUGCUCUAG